rnacentral:rRNA from 1 species
UACGUAGGGGGCAAGCGUUGUCCGGAUUUACUGGGCGUAAAGAGCGUGUAGGCGGCCACGCAGGUCCGUUGUGAAAACUGGAGGCUCAACCUCCAGACGUCGACGGAAACCGUGUGGCUAGAGUCCGGAAGAGGAGAGUGGAAUUCCUGGUGUAGCGGUGAAAUGCGCAGAUAUCAGGAAGAACACCGAUGGCGAAGGCAAUCCCCUGGGCCUGCACUGACGCUCAUGCACGAAAGCGUGGGGAGCAAACAGG